CAGCCGCCGCGGGAAUACGAAGGGGGCUAGCGUUGCUCGGAAUUACUGGGCGUAAAGGGAGCGUAGGCGGAUCGUUAAGUUGGGGGUGAAAGCCCGGGGCUCAACCUCGGAACUGCCUUCAAUACUGGCGAUCUUGAGUAUGAGAGAGGUGUGUGGAACUCCGAGUGUAGAGGUGAAAUUCGUAGAUAUUCGGAAGAACACCGGUGGCGAAGGCGACACACUGGCUCAUUACCGACGCUGAGGCUCGAAAGCGUGGGGAGCAAACAGGAUUAGAUACCCCAGUAGUCCCUGUCUCUUAUAC
rnacentral:rRNA from 1 species